GAAGACAAUUGUGUUAUUUAUAGUUAUUACAUUUUAAUGUUGAUUAUUGUUCAUAACAAUCGUGCUAUCUUACGAUUACUCGUGUACAAUUUGCUCUAGAAUCCAACAAUCUUCUCAUUUCAUCUUGGGAUUCUAGUAUUAGGUUGGUGGAUGUGGAAAGCAGUAAGCUUAGAUUAGAAGUUCAAACAGAAGCUGCAGUACUUGAUUGCUGUUUUCAGAAUGCGUUUGUUUCUUUCUCUGCUGCUUCUGAUGGAUCCAUUUUCAGUCGAAAUUUACCUAAAAAGGUAAGAAAGAAUGAAAAUCGAAGGAAGACAAUGAGAAAGGGAGAGAAUGUAGGAGAGAUAAGGAGGAACUUAAGGUGGAAUUGUACUCUUAGUAUCCCUAUGGUUUACAGCCAGUUGUACCCUUUUGAAGUUCUGUUGAAUUAUACUUCAGGAAUCAUUCAUCAUGUUAGACUUGAAGGUAUGAAACUAUGAAUUCAACUAUUUAUUUUAAUUUGCUUGAGUUGUUUGUAAUUUUGAUUAGUUUUUAUCAAUUUGUUUAUGUGGUUGUCCUUUUGAUGAAUC